rnacentral:rRNA from 1 species
UACGUAGGGUGCAAGCGUUGUCCGGAAUUAUUGGGCGUAAAGAGCUCGUAGGCGGUGUGUUGCGUCGGCUGUGAAAACCCGGGGCUCAACCCCGGGCCUGCAGCCGAUACGGGCAGACUAGAGUUCGGCAGGGGAGACUGGAAUUCCUGGUGUAGCGGUGAAAUGCGCAGAUAUCAGGAGGAACACCGGUGGCGAAGGCGGGUCUCUGGGCAUGUCCUGACGCUGAGGAGCGAAAGUGUGGGGAGCGAACAGG